rnacentral:tRNA from 1 species
GUGAAUAUAGCUCAGUUGGUAGAGCGCCAGGUUGUGAUCCUGGAUGUGAUGGGUUCGAGCCCCAUUAUUCACCCCA